rnacentral:tRNA from 1 species
GCGGGGGUCGCCGAGCAUGGCCAAAGGCGUAGGCUUCAGGAGCCUAUCCCGUAGGGGUUCGUGGGUUCAAAUCCCACCCCCCGCACCA